ensembl:lncRNA
CAGGGGGUACUGGUACAGAGUCAAUGUGGAGGCUAUAUACAGGGGUACUGGUACAGAGUCAAUGUGGAGGCUAUAUACAGGGGGUACUGGUACAGAGUCAAUGUGGAGGCUAUAUACAGGGUAUUACGGUACAGAGUCAAUGUGGAGGCUAUAUACAGGGGGUACUGGUACAGAGUCAAUGUGGAGGCUAUAUACAGGGUAUUACGGUACAGAGUCAAUGUGGAGGCUAUAUACAGGGGGGGUACUGGUACAGAGUCAAUGUGGAGGCUAUAUACAGGGGGUACUGGUACAGAGUCAAUGUGGAGACUAUAUACAGGGGGUACUGGUACAGAGUCAAUGUGGAGGCUAUAUACAGGGGGUACCGGUACAGAGUCAAUGUGGAGACUAUAUACAGGGGGUACCGGUACAGAGUCAAUGUGGAGGCUAUAUACAGGGGGUACCGGUACAGAGUCAAUGUGGAGACUAUAUACAGGGG